rnacentral:rRNA from 1 species
CCUACGGGUGGCAGCAGUGGGGGAUAUUGCACAAUGGAGGAAACUCUGAUGCAGCGACGCCGCGUGAGUGAAGAAGUAUUUCGGUAUGUAAAGCUCUAUCAGCAGGGAAGAAAGACUCGAAAGAGAGAUGACGGUACCUGACUAAGAAGCUCCGGCUAAAUACGUGCCAGCAGCCGCGGUAAUACGUAUGGAGCAAGCGUUAUCCGGAUUUACUGGGUGUAAAGGGAGCGCAGACGGUUAUGCAAGUCUGAAGUGAAAAACCACGGCUCAACUGUGGUCUUGCUUUGGAAACUGUGUAACUAGAGUGUCGGAAGGGUAAGCGGAAUUCCUAGUGUAGCGGUGAAAUGCGUAGAUAUUAGGAAGAACACCGGAGGCGAAGGCGGCUUACUGGACGAUAACUGACGUUGAGGCUCGAAGGCGUGGGUAGCAAACAGGAUUAGAUACCCUGGUAGUC